CGAAGGGGGCUAGCGUUGUUCGGAAUCACUGGGCGUAAAGCGCGCGUAGGCGGAUGAUUAAGUCAGGGGUGAAAUCCCGGGGCUCAACCUCGGAACUGCCUUUGAUACUGGUCAUCUGGAGUCCGGAAGAGGUUGGUGGAAUUCCGAGUGUAGAGGUGAAAUUCGUAGAUAUUCGGAGGAACACCAGAGGCGAAGGCGGCCAACUGGUCCGGUACUGACGCUGAGGCGCGAAAGCGUGGGGAGCAAACAGGAUUAGAUACCCUGGUAGUCCACGCCGUAAACGAUGGAUGCCAGCCGUUGGCGGGCUUGCCCGUCAGUGGCGCAGCUAACGCAUUAAGCAUCCCGCCUGGGGAGUACGGUCGCAAGAUUA
rnacentral:rRNA from 1 species